AUCCGGAAUCAUUGGGCGUAAAGCGCCUGUAGGUUGUUUAAUAAGUCCGUUGUUAAAGACUAGGGCUUAACCCUAGGAAAGCGAUGGAAACUGAUAGACUUGAGUAUGGCAGGGGUAGAGGGAAUUUCUAGUGUAGCGGUGAAAUGCGUAGAUAUUAGAAAGAACACCGGUGGCGAAAGCGCUCUACUGGACCAUUACUGACGCUGAGAGGCGAAAGCUAGGGGAGCGAAAGGGAUUAGAUACCCCUGUAGUCCUAGCCGUAAACGAUGGAUACUAGAUGUUGUGCAAUUUGGACAGUAUCGUAGCUAACGCGUUAAGUAUCCCGCCUGGGGAGUACGCUCGCAAGGGUGAAACUCAAAGGAAUUGACGGGGGCCCGCACAAGCGGUGGAGCAUGUGGUUUAAUUCGAUGCAACGCGAAGAACCUUACCAGGGCUUGACAUACUACAGAUCUUUUUGAGAAAGAAGAGUGCCUUCGGGAAUGUAGAUACAGGUGGUGCAUGGCUGUCGUCAGCUCGUGUCGUGAGAUGUUGGGUUAAGUCCCGCAACGAGCGCAACCCUCGUGUUUAGUUGCCAGCAUUUAGUUUGGAACCCUGAACAGACUGCCGGUGAUAAGCCGGAGGAAGGUGA
rnacentral:rRNA from 1 species